rnacentral:rRNA from 1 species
AGCUUAACACAUGCAAGUCGAACGGUCUCUUCGGAGAUAGUCGCGGACGGGUGAGUAACGCGUGAGAAUCUAGCUUCAGCUCGGGGACAACCACUGGAAACGUGGCUAAUACCGGAUGUGCCGAAAGGUGAAAGAUUUAUUGCCUGAAGAUGAGCUCGCGUCUGAUUAGCUAGUUGGUGUGGUAAGGCGCACCAAGGCGACGAUCAGUAGCUGGUCUGAGAGGAUGAUCAGCCACACUGGGACUGAGACACGGCCCAGACUCCUACGGGAGGCAGCAGUGGGGAAUUUUCCGCAAUGGGCGAAAGCUGACGGAGCAAUACCGCGUGAGGGAGGAAGGCUCUUGGGUUCUAAACCUCUUUUGUCAGGGAAUAAAAUGAAGGUACCUGAGGAAUAAGCAUCGGCUAACUCCGUGCCAGCAGCCGCGGUAAUACGGAGGAUGCAAGCGUUAUCCAGAAUGAUUCCGCGUAAAGCGUCCGCAGGUGGCACUGUAAGUCUGCUGUUAAAGAGCAAGGCUCAUCCUUGUAAAGGCAGUGGAAACUACAGAGCUAGAGUACGUUCGGGGCAGAGGGAAUUCCUGGUGUAGCGGUGAAAUGCGUAGAGAUCAGGAAGAACACCGGUGGCGAAAGCGCAAUGCUAGGCCGUAACUGACACUGAGGGACGAAAGCUAGGGGAGCGAAUGGGAUUAGAUACCCCAGUAGUCCUAGCCGUAAACGAUGGAUACUAGGCGUGGCUUGUAUCGACCCGAGCCGUGCCGGAGCCAUCGCGUUAAGUAUCCCGCCUGGGGAGUACGCACGCAAGUGUGAAACUCAAAGGAAUUGACGGGGGCCCGCACAAGCGGUG